rnacentral:rRNA from 1 species
GACGUAGGGUGCAAGCGUUAUCCGGAUUUACUGGGCGUAAAGAACACGUAGGUGGUUUAGUAAGUCACUUCUUAAAUACCGAUGCUCAACAUCGGGCCAGGAAGUGAUACUGCUAGACUUUGAGGUCACCAGGGGCAAGUGGAAUGUGCGGUGUAGGAGUGAAAUCCGUUGAUAUCGCACAGAACACCAAUGGCGAAGGCAGCUUGCUAGGGUGAAUCUGACACUGAGGUGUGAAAGCGUGGGGAGCGAACGGG